rnacentral:rRNA from 1 species
CCUACGGGAGGCAGCAGUCGAGAAUUAUUCACAAUGGGGGAAACCCUGAUGGUGCGACGCCGCGUGGGGGAAUGAAGGUCUUCGGAUUGUAAACCCCUGUCAUGUGGGAGCAAAUUAAAAAGAUAGUACCACAAGAGGAAGAGACGGCUAACUCUGUGCCAGCAGCCGCGGUAAUACAGAGGUCUCAAGCGUUGUUCGGAAUCACUGGGCGUAAAGGGUGCGUAGGCUGUUUCGUAAGUCGUGUGUGAAAGGCGCGGGCUCAACCCGCGGACGGCACAUGAUACUGCGAGACUAGAGUAAUGGAGGGGGAACCGGAAUGCUCGGUGUAGCAGUGAAAUGCGUAGAUAUCGAGAGGAACACUCGUGGCGAAGGCGGGUUCCUGGACAUUAACUGACGCUGAGGCACGAAGGCCAGGGGAGCGAAAGGGAUUAGAUACCCGAGUAGUC